rnacentral:rRNA from 1 species
UACGGAGGGUGCGAGCGUUGUCCGGAAUCACUGGGCGUAAAGGGCGCGUAGGUGGCCUGUGGAAGUCUGCGGUGAAAGCCCGGCGCUCAACGCCGGGUCGGCCGUGGAUACUCUCGGGCUCGAGCUUACUAGAGGCAGAUGGAAUUCCGGGUGUAGCGGUGGAAUGCGUAGAGAUCCGGAAGAACACCGGUGGCGAAGGCGGGUAGCUGGGCCGACACUGACGCUGAGGCGCGAAAGCCAGGGGAGCGAACGGG